AUACGGAGGAUCCGAGCGUUAUCCGGAUUUAUUGGGUUUAAAGGGUGCGCAGGCGGCCAUUUAAGUCAGCGGUUAAAUCGUGGGGCUCAACCCCAUUCUGCCGUUGAUACUGGGUGGCUUGAUUGCGGUCGAGGUUGGCGGAAUUCGUUGUGUAGCGGUGAAAUGUAUAGAUAUGACGAAGAACACCGAUUGCGUAGGCAGCUGACCAGACCGCAAAUGACGCUCAUGCACGAAAGUGCGGGGAUCGAACAGGAUUAGAUACCCUGGUAGUCCGCACAGUAAACGAUGAAUACUUGUUUUCGGCGAUAUAAUGUCGGAGGCAAAGCGAAAGCGAUAAGUAUUCCACCUGGGGAGUACGCCGGCAACGGUGAAACUCAAAUGAAUUGACGGGG
rnacentral:rRNA from 1 species